rnacentral:rRNA from 1 species
AUGAACGCAAGCGAGGACGGCGACCGCCGCCGCCGCCGUUCCCAAACCCACGAGAGUUACGAGGCAGACGGAGUGGCCCGCCUCCAUCCCCAGGAUCACGCGAGCGAGGAGGGAGCCGGAGUGGCUCGCAGGCGCAGUACGCGCCCCCGCGCCCGCCCUCGUUCCCAGAUCCACGCCUCCGGCGAGGGCGCCGGAGUGAUCUGUCGCGUCAGCAUUCCGGCGGCGCUGGCCUCGCCGUUCGAAGACGACGACCUCCUGAGGGAGAUUCUCCUCCGUCUCCCGCCGCAGCCCUCCUCGCUACUCCGGGCCUCCGCCGUCUGCAAGCGGUGGCGAUGCGCCGCCACCGACCCCAAGUUUCUCCACCGCUUCCGCACGCACCACCGGAAGCCGCCCCUCCUCGGCGUCUUUCACGUGCGCAACCGGGAUGAUAUCGUCUUCACCCCAAUACUGGACGCACCCGACCGCAUCCCUCCUCAGCGAUUCGACUUUGGCAGCAUCACGGAGGUGAUGCUCGUACUGCUCGAUUGUCGCCACGGUCGCGUCCUUCUCGUUGACGUGGAGCGGGAUCAGGCCAUCGUGUCCGCCCCCAUCACCGGCGAGCAGCGCCUCCUGCCCAUUCCGUCGGAGUUCGAAUUCAACGAUGAUGUCAACGGGGCUGUGCUCUGCGCUGCCAGCGACCAUGACCAUGUGCACGAAAGCUGCCACUCGAGCCCCUUCAAGAGCCUAGCUGUGAUCAAGGGGCCUCCCAUUACAGAUGAUCUCCGCCAUGCCAGCCAUUGGAUCGUCCAGGCUGUGGAUGGUGCUGUUGGCUUCGCCAUAUUGACUUGCAGUCACUUACAAAUGUGGCAGAGGAUUAUAAAUUUCCUUGGUGUUGCCACAUGGGUGUUAUGGAAGACCAUUGACAUGCAUACCAUUCGUGGGCUCCCUCCCCAGAUUGAAAUAGAGAAGACACGCAUGAUACGUAUAGCAGGAUGCAUUGAGGAUACUGAUGGAAUAUUUCUAUACGUGGGCUGUGAUGUCUAUAUGGUUCAACUUAAUUCGAUGCAGUCUAGGAAACUUUUUGAAAACCAUGGUUAUACUUACUAUCAUUCGUUCAAGAGUUUCUAUCCGCCAGGCACAACCAUUGCUGGUGCAUGCGAUGGAGCUGAAAUGUUGCACGAUACAUAG